AUGUAUUUUAUGGGCUACAAGUGGGCUUGGCAGAAACCACAUUUGAUUGGAACCGGUAAGUGUUGGUUUCAAGCCCCUUUUUUUUUCAUUUUUAUUUUGAUGCAACUUUAAUGGGAUUAUUAUAUGUUAUUAUAUAUACAACUGGGUACAGUUGUAACUCACUUGGUAUUUAUAUUAUUAAAUGAGGAAAAUAAAAGUUAGAUAUACCCUAAAAAGGCUAAAACCACCAUGACAGCAAAUUUUCAAUUUGCUAAUGAAAACUCUUGAAACCCAUCUUCCUCCAUGAAAUCUCUUAUUCAGAUUCCCUUAUGAGUCAUGGCAACAGUUUCAAAUUCUAAACCCUACACCGCCAUAGAUCUAUUCGGAGAUCCAGAUCUACUCGCCAACUAACAAAACAUUCACCGAUGAUGACAUCGUCCGUGAAGGUUCACACGUGUCAGAGAUGACGAACGACUGUAGACUUGACUCGAAACCGGAGACGAGAAGAAACUUAACCGGUUAAACGCCGAUGUAAACGACAUCACCGGAACGAUUGGCGGUUGAGGACAAUCGCCGAAGAAAGGUGUUCAGAUGUAUACGCAGUAAUAUAUCAAGGAGGAUAACAUAUAAUCAAUAUAUACGAGAGAUUGUGAUGAUGUGUACCAGGAUUACGAGGGAGUGAAGAUUUGUUCAAGAUGUGUUAUUGUCUGCGGAUUGCGUCACUGCUGCCCGAUGCAAGUUACAUAAACGAUUUGAUAUGAUGGCCGGUAAAUCUCAGCGGAGAGUCUCGUGCUGAUAACGUGAUAAAAACCAAAUGGAAUUAUCUAUUAGAUUGCAAGUGAUUGUAUUGAAUCUUCUGGAAAAACCAAUCACCAAAUAAUAAUAUACAAGAGUAUUAUAUAAUACAAGCAGUUACAAGGUGUUAAUACAAGUGGUUACAAGGUGUUAACUGCCAAGGCAGUUACAUGGGGAAAACGUAUAUCUGGUUUUAUAACAAUUCUUUAAUUUUCCUUUAGUUUUCU
rnacentral:lncRNA from 1 species